ensembl:lncRNA
GGGAGAAGAAGGGGACGACAGAGGAUGAAAUGAUUGGAUGGCAUCACCAAGUCGAUGGACAUGAGUUUGAGCAAGCUCUAGAAGUUGGUAAUAGACAGGGAAGCCUGGCAUGCUGCAGUCCAUGGGGCCACAAAAAAGUCGGACAUGAUUGAGUGACUGAACUGACUACUUGUGGAAUGAGCCAUCAAGCUCCUCUAUCCAUUGGAUUCUCCAGGCAAGAAUACUGGAAUGUAUUGCCGUGCCCUCCUCCAGAGGAUCUUCAAGACCCAGGGAUCGAACUUGCAUCUCUUAUGUCUCCUGCAUAGGCAGUGGUCAUGUAUGGAUGUGAGAGUUGGGCUGUGAAGAAAGCUGAACACCGAUGAAUUGAUGCUUUUGAACUGUUGUGUUGGAGAAGACUCUUGAGAGUCCCUUGGACUGCAAGGAGAUCCAACCAGUCCAUUCUGAAGGAGAUCAGCCC